AGGUGUUUUCAGUAAUUUGCUGCACACCGCCUAUUUCUCCGCAAAACCCUAAAUUCCUGAUUUUGCAGUAUUUAGCAGAUGCGAAUAACGAGCAAGCAAGCUAUUUCUAUGGCUAUCUUUCCUCUCUAUUCCCUAUAGAGAAAUGUGGAUUGGCUGUGAGCAGUGUUUCUUGCAAAUUUCUGAUUUAAUAUGAGCAUGCGGGGGUUCCUAUGAUGGCAUGGAAUCAUCAGACCUGAUUGUCUAAUUUGAUGAGAGUUCAACAUUUGUUCUACUGAGGAUCCCCUUGAACUUUUCUUUUCUUUUUUUACAUAUUGAUUUAUACAUCAGAUCAAAACUUGUUGGAUAUUCAUCUUCCGAAGGAAGGAAAUUGAGAGAUUACGAAUAUAUGUUUUCUUUUUCCCUAGCGGGGGACGCAGAAAAUAGAAUUAUUUUAAAGUUUUA